GACUAGUGUGAAACCCUGCCUCGAAAAACUGGGAGGAAAAGCCAGAUUCAUCUUUAGACCCAAUUCAAGCACAGCCUCCUCCUUUCUGUAACUGACCUACUCAGUCUUUUUUGCAUUUGCCUUAAAAUGGAGUUCAGGAAACGGAAAGUAAAUUCAUGGAGAAUUCCUAGGUGCCGCUUAUGGAGAUGCAUCUGCUCUUCCCACCACCACCUUUUUUAAAUGGUAAACGCUUCAUUUCACUGACUUUAAAAAAAAUGCACUUAAAGGCCCAAGGCAUAGCUUAGUGAAAGAGCGCUUGCCUGGUAUGCAUGAGGCUCUCUGUUCCCGCUCCAGCACCCCACCUCCCAAGAAAAUUCCUGCUGUUGGAGUCAUUUAUCCAAGAUGCUGGUAAUCAGACCGGUCUGCAUGAUGCCAAAGCACAUUUCUUGCCACUACUAUACAAACGUCUGAUUCAUCCUCUGUCCCUCACUCACUCUGCCAAGAUGCCUUCGGCAUAAAAGCUUGUGGAGAGCACCUUUCCAGCCACCACACUUGGAUCACGGAGGAAGGGAGUACCAGCGGAAGAGCCCCAGGUGCCCUGUGGUGUAAGGAGCAUCUGUACAAGGUGGAGUCUGGACAACCAGUAACUUAAUGAGCUUUGAAUGGACUGUCAAGGAGACAACAGAGCACAUGAGCCCAGUUACCAGAUAACAUGCUUUUAUCUGAAAAAAGAAAGCCAUCCAACAGGAUUGGGAUAUGCAUAAGGUUAUCUGUCUUCUGUGGUGUGUCCAUGCUUCACUGUUAACCAAGUUACUCGGUCUUCUGUGGUGUGUCCAUGUUUCACCGUUACCCAGAUGGGAGUUGGACCUGAGGAGAUAAAUGACCCAGCGCAUUCCACCCCGGCCC